UACCCCUUUCUAUAUCUAUCCCUAUUCUCCUUGCUCUUCUUAACCUUGUUUCUAAAUAUGCUUCCUCCUCUUCCUAGCUGCGUCUCCAUGAAUCUGGCUUUUGUGAUUUCUCACUUUCUCCUUUGCCCCCUUUGGGUUAUCAAUAUUCAAUCUUGGUUGUGUACAACGAUUCAACUUCUGCGGCUUCAAAAGGUGUGUGUACCGGUUCAGAAUUUCAACUCAACUCGCAGAGGAGCUUAGUCAACUGCCUCAAUGUCUUUGCCAUAAGUUUCUAGAAGUGCAAGGAGUUGAAGACUUGGUGAGUCCUCAUAGCAUCGAGGAUUUGAUCACCUUUCCUUUAUGUCUUUUAUUUUCAUGUCUUGAGACUAUUGUAUCGGCUGUGACCCAAGAGUAUUCAAAGUUGUAUUAGAUGGUUUGAGACGAGUGUAGUAAGAC